GGACGCAUUUGUUUUCCCACAUAGCAGCGGGGUGAAGGUGUUGGUGGUGGCGGCAUUGAGGGAUUUUAGCCGUUUGGGAGCCUUUCGAACCCGUGAGGUGGCUGCCGGAAGGAUUGCAUCAGUCUACACUCUUGAAUUGGGGUACACCGGGCAUGUCCCGUCGACCUUGAGCUACCAGAUUCUAAGUUCGAGGCAUUUUGAAGAGUUUUGUGAGCGCGUCACAGGUACACCGGGCAGGUCCCAUCGACCUUGAGCUACCAGAUUCGAAGUUCGAGGCAUUUCGAAGAGUUUUGUGAACGCACCACAGGUUUUGGCGGACCCGGGGCAGCAGACUGAGCAGGUGGCUUUACUCACGUCCUACUGGGGAG